AUUGAACGCUGGCGGCAUGCUUUACACAUGCAAGUCGAACGGCAGCGCGGGCUUCGGCCUGGCGGCGAGUGGCGAACGGGUGAGUAAUGCAUCGGAACGUGCCCAGUAGUGGGGGAUAGCCCGGCGAAAGCCGGAUUAAUACCGCAUACGACCUGCGGGUGAAAGCGGGGGACCGAAAGGCCUCGCGCUAUUGGAGCGGCCGAUGUCGGAUUAGCUAGUUGGUGGGGUAAAGGCUUACCAAGGCGACGAUCCGUAGCUGGUCUGAGAGGACGACCAGCCACACUGGGACUGAGACACGGCCCAGACUCCUACGGGAGGCAGCAGUGGGGAAUUUUGGACAAUGGGGCAACCCUGAUCCAGCCAUGCCGCGUGCGGGAAGAAGGCCUUCGGGUUGUAAACCGCUUUUGUUCGGGAAGAAAUCCUCUGGGCUAAUACCCCGGGGGGAUGACGGUACCGGAAGAAUAAGCACCGGCUAACUACGUG
rnacentral:rRNA from 1 species